AGAAAGAAAGAAAGAAAGAAAGAAAGAAAGAAAGAAAGAAAGAAAGAAAGAAAGAAAGAAAGAAAGAAGAAGGAAGGAGGAAAGGAGGGAGGAAGUAUGGAUGGACGGAAGGAAGGAAGGAAGGAAGGAAAGAAACAAACAAAGAAAAAACCUGAUCCAACAUUUCCAUUUCACAGGCGAUCCUUUUCUUAUGAACUUACACAGCUUUUCCGGAGGAAAACACCCAUCACAUGUUAUUGAGGGCUUCUGUUUCUGUUCAUUCCCUUCUGAUGCUUGGCAAGUUUUCACGUUGUACAAUAAAAAUGUGCUUCCUUACAUGGAAUGAACGGGCCAUGGCUAGGACUCAGCUCUCGCUAUUGCCAGAUGACUCUCCAGAAAGACACAACUGAUUUAUAGGGUCUCCAACGCCAUUAAAUAUGUCAUUUUCCCCAGCACAGAA